AAGGCAAAGAAAGAAUCAUCCAUCUCUCACCCCAAAGACAACCUGUGUUUGAACAUACGAGGAAGACUUGCUUGAUGUCACACAACCAGGAGUUAAGUGAGUUGGGGCUUUGACCUCAGUUUGAUGUCUACAUGCUCUGAAGCCAGGCGGGUAGCUCAAGAUAUGGUCUUUGACCACCUGCUUAGCAUCAUCGAAAAAUGUGGAUUCCCAGGUCUUGACCAGGUCUUUCCAAUCAGAAUUACAGUGGUGCUGAGAUGCUGCCUGCUUAACAAGUCCCCCAGGUUGGAGGGAUGCCUGGCACUGGCCAUCAGGAAUCUGAUGCUGACCUUGGCUGUCCUCACCUAUUGGGCAGAUGUACGCUGGGGCCAAUGUCCUGGACACAGAGCAGAAAUUACAGCCCACUGUGGAAGCAUGCAGCAGGCCAGAAAGGCUCCUGUCCAAGGCCAAACCAUCUUACCAUUGUAUUAUUGCUCCAGACAGGAAGUCUCAAAACAGGGGUGCCUUGGUGGCUC